GGGGAGCUUCCCGGAAACGAAGUCUUCCGGUUCCGGGGGAAGUAUGGUUGCAAAGCUGAAACUUAAAGGAAUUGACGGAAGGGCACCACCAGGAGUGGAGCCUGCGGCUUAAUUUGACUCAACACGGGGAAACUCACCCGGCCCGGACACCGUGAGGAUUGACAGAUUGAUAGCUUUUUCAUGAUUCGGUGGAUGGUGGUGCAUGGCCGUUCUUAGUUCGUGGAGCGAUUUGUCUGGUUUAUUCCGAUAACGAGCGAGACUCUGGCCUACUAACUAGUCUGGGCAUUGUCACUGUGCCUAGCACUUCUUAGAGGGAUUUUCGGUGUUCAGCCGCACGAAAUUGAGCAAUAACAGGUCUGUGAUGCCCUUAGAUGUCCGGGGCUGCACGCGCGCUACACUGGCAAAAUCAACGUGCCUGUCCUUUGCCGAAAGGCAUUGGUAAACCCGUGAAAAUUUGCCGUGAUUGGGAUCGGAAAUUGCAAUUAUUUUCCGUGAACGAGGAAUUCCCAGUAAGUGCGAGUCAUCACUCGCGUUG
rnacentral:rRNA from 1 species